UACGUAGGGGGCGAGCGUUGUCCGGAUUUAUUGGGCGUAAAGGGCGCGUAGGCGGCCUGUUAAGUCGAACGUGAAAUCCCCGGGCUCAACCCGGGAACUGCGUCCGAUACUGGCAGGCUUGAAUCCGGGAGAGGGACGCGGAAUUCCAGGUGUAGCGGUGAAAUGCGUAGAUAUCUGGAGGAACACCGGUGGCGAAGGCGGCAUCCUGGACCGGCAUUGACGCUGAGGCGCGAAAGCCAGGGGAGCAAACGGG
rnacentral:rRNA from 1 species